CAGUCGUACCGACGAAAAUUCAACUUCUCGGGUGCCAAUCGUGGGUGACGUUGAGCCUCACGGUCUUCGUUGCUUGUGUUUGUUGGUGCCUUUGGGGUGUACUUUUUCGUAUGGUAGGUCAACAUCGAUUUUGAUCGUCAUAAAAUGAUCGGAGGAAUGUAGCUUUGAUUUCGAUCGAAGUGUUAUAGCCUUUGGUAGAUGUGACGAUUGGGAUCGAGGAUUGCAACGAAUACCCUUUUGGGCUAUCCGUCUGACCUCUGAAAGUCGCUUGGGAGUCGAAAGCUUGCUUAUGACUAUUCAAGUUGGCGGUCAACAGGUUAGAACGCGAUUACA
rnacentral:rRNA from 1 species